UCAGAUCUCCGCGCAUUAACUCUUGGUUGACUAAGUGGACAAAGCAUUUAGUAUGGUUUGAUGUAUCAUGUAACCGGAAAAAUACUACUAAUAAUAAUAAAAUAAUAUAAAACAAGCGUGAUGUGUGACUGCGAAGCGGCGAGCGCGAAAGCUCCUCACCAGGCUAAACCUGCAUGAUGAGGUUAGCGCUGGUUCAUUAACCACUAACGUUCCGACCAACCAGGAACACAGACAAACUUUAUCAGUGCAGACAGAGCCGGGGUGUUGAAAUGGAAAAGCCGCACAAAAUUCUUUGUCCACAAACAUAAAUCAUUCUCACUGCUCGCUCAACGCACCUCUGAAAGCUCCACUACAAGUUAUUUCUGCGGUUCACGUAGAGAUGCGCAAUCGGAGCUUAAGGUAGGUUUAAACUCCUACCUUAGUCAAAAACUCUGGAAAGAAACAUAAUUACUCACAGGGGGUUGAUGUAAAUAUCCAUACAGGUCAACUUGUGUCCAGUUUGAGUGAAAGGAGUCGCGGGAUCCGUGCUGAGAUAAACUUAAGUCAUCCAGCUGCUGCAGCGCGAGGCAACGUGCAGAGGCGCCAGCGGUGUGAUUGGGCAACCUCGGAGUCUCCAGGACCUGUGUCGAAUAAAAAUCCGUCACUGUAUUGGCCUUCAAAGUUUGAAAUUCUUGGAGGAUCUUCCAAUUGCAAAAGUUAUGAAAGACUAUUUAAAACAUAAGUUUGACAGUUUGUGAAGGAGCAUGGAACAAGCGGACAGAUGGUGACGGGCUCUCUGUCAGACUAUGCAAGCAUUAUGAUUCUGCUCUAGAAGGAGGAUCCUCUGCUUUGUUCUGUACGUUCUGAAGAUUUAGUCCAAUCAGAUUUUUUUUUCUUUAUCAACACUCUAUUAAGCCUUAUUUAAACUUCUUGCAGUUGCUGACAAUUUUUAGUAGGCACUUUUUUUUUAGGAGACUGAAACUUACUUGACUGCAUAUGGCAUUAUUCCCAUAGUAAUAACAUUUACCUUUUAGACAUAUGUUAUCCCAUUGGUGAGAGUUUUGAAAAAUUAAAGCAUGGGCAUGUGGAUUUUGUAUAAUUUUCUUUCUUUUCUUUUUUUUAUAAAAAUAUGGAAGAUGGCUUUUUGUAUUCAACUUAGACAUUGACAGAAGAUACCCAGUCAGAAUGGCCAAAACUCUGAACUGGAACCAGUAUUAACACGGUGCAGCAGGAGUAAAAUCUGAAACCUGCUUAGAGUGUGUGGAGGAAUCUGCAGCAGGAGCAGAGUGGUAGAUGCAGCAAGCUUCAUAUCCACAACAAAAGACUACAAGGCUAUGUAGUAAUUAUUGAUUAAAGGUGUGAAUGAUUCUGACAGUAAUUGUUACAAUCCAAAACAUUUAAAUGCUUGCAGUUUAAAUCGGUACCCCUUCAACUUUUCUGGCAGAUUUGUGGGGGGGGGGUUGUUUGUAUUUAUCAUCCUGAAUCUCAUUUGAAGAACAGUUGGAGGAAACCGUGUAGUCUAAAGUUUCCUCAGGAUUUAGAUUUUUUUUUUUGUGGGGUUAUGCAUGGAGGUAAUGCGUGAUUAUAUCUUACAUUUGGUAGAUGACUCCCUUUAUGACCUCCAUAUGUAUCAGGAGAAUUAAGUUUGGCUCAAAAUAUCUGGUUGGGGUUUCAAAUGAAGACUAACUUAUUUUUUGGGACAUUGUAACAUUUGGACAGUUACUCUGGACACACACACUUCACCAGUAGGUUUUGUCUAUUUUUCUUUAAGUGCUUCACAUCAGAAGACUGCUCCAGACUUUUCAUGGUCUGUGGUAAAUAACCACGCUGCUGCAGACAUGACUGAUUUAAACAGAUCUUAUAGACCGGACUUGUUUUAAAGUAGCAGAGGUCAUCUUCAGUCCGGAUCCUGUUCUGACCAGCUGUCAGCUGAAAGCCCAUCCAGACAGAAAAGGUGAAAGAAAUUAAUUUUAGAUAGUAUACCAUUUAUAACCAAUGCAAAACAAUUCAGUCUGCCUUUUAGAGUUCAGUUGAGGUAAUUUUGAGCUGAAACAUUUGACUGGAUGUGAAAUGUUUUCUUUAGUUCAUAUUUUCUAAUGCUUAAAAAUGCACUUCAUUUUUAUUUUUUAGGUGAGGUCAAACAGAAAUGUGGAUAUUACAUUGAAAGGUUUGCAGUAAAACAGAAUAACAAACUGAACCCUGAUGGCUGAUCAGUGUGGGGGUAUUGGUCCACUUGAUCGGUCUCUGAAUUCCUCUGAGGUGUCAUUAGUGGCAUGUUAAGUGGAAUUUGAAAAGCUCUGAAUGUAUUCAGUGAAUUCACAUAUUAACUUUUAGUGGAUAAGAAAACCAAGUGCAAGUUUUUAAGCUAAUACACAAAUCUGUUAGCUGAAAACGUUUCAUCUACCUUUUUUACGAACUGCAAUACAAAUCAGUUUUAUUUUCAGACAUUGGUGAAAGAGUGUAAUGUGGUAAUUUUUUUUAUUUUUUAAACUUACGAUAUGACCGUUCCAGUGAACCUGCUAUGUCCAUUCCUGUGCCAUGGUGGAAGCACUGUGGAGCUCUCGCCGUUACUCUAAAGCAGUCGUGUUUUCAGGAAAACUGGCCUUCACAGCUACAGUCAGUGUAAAUAUGUUACGGCCUAUUUAUGUAAAAUCUGUUCAAGCAAUAAUCUGGUGUUCCCGACAUUUACAUUUUGGAAAGUCUUGUAACUUCUUUGGUGUGAAUUAAGUAUUUUGUGUGUCAGUUCAUUAAAGUUUCAUUUUGAAUA